UUGGCGGACGGGUGAGUAACGCGUGGGGAACCUGCCUUGCACCGGGGGAUAACACUUAGAAAUAGGUGCUAAUACCGCAUAAGCGCACAGAGCCGCAUGGCUCAGUGUGAAAAACUCCGGUGGUGCAAGAUGGACCCGCGUCUGAUUAGCUGGUUGGCGGGGUAACGGCCCACCAAGGCGACGAUCAGUAGCCGGCCUGAGAGGGUGAACGGCCACAUUGGGACUGAGACACGGCCCAAACUCCUACGGAAGGCAGCAG
rnacentral:rRNA from 1 species